rnacentral:rRNA from 1 species
ACGGGGUGCAGCAGGCGCGAAACCUCCGCAAUACACGAAAGUGUGACGGGGUUACCCAAAGUGUUCUAUUUAGAACUGUGGUAGGUGAGUAAUGUCCCCUACUAGAAAGGAGAGGGCAAGGCUGGUGCCAGCCGCCGCGGUAAAACCAGCUCUUCAAGUGGUCGGGAUAAUUAUUGGGCUUAAAGUGUCCGUAGCCGGUUUAGUAAGUUCCUGGUAAAAUCGGGUAGCUUAACUAUCUAUAUGCUAGGAAUACUACUAUACUAGAGGGCGGGAGAGGUCUGAGGUACUACAGGGGUAGGGGUGAAAUCUUAUAAUCCUUGUAGGACCACCAGUGGCGAAGGCGUCAGACUGGAACGCGCCUGACGGUGAGGGACGAAAGCCAGGGGAGCGAACCGGAUUAGAUACCCGGGUAGUCCUGGCCGUAAACGAUGCAUACUAGGUGAUGGCACGGCCAUGAGCCGUGUCAGUGCCGUAGGGAAACCGUUAAGUGUGCCGCCUGGGAAGUACGGUCGCAAGGCUAAAACUUAAAGGAAUUGGCGGGGGAGCACCACAAGGGGUGAAGCCUGCGGUUCAAUUGGACUCAACGCCGGAAAACUUACCAGGGGAGACAGCAGUAUGACGGUCAGGUUGACGACCUUACCUAACGAGCUGAGAGGAGGUGCAUGGCUGUCGCCAGUUCGUGCCGUGAGGUAUCCUGUUAAGUCAGGCAACGAACGAGAUCCGCACCUUUAUUUGCCACCAAGAAGUCACGACUUCGUUGGGA